CAUUGUGCUUGCACAGAUGACGACCGGCGCACGGGUGCGUAACGCGUAUAGAACCUACCUUUUACAGAGGAAUAGCCUUUAGAAAUGAAGAUUAAUGCCUCAUAGUAUUGUAGACUGGCAUCAGUUUAUAAUUAAAGAUUUAUCGGUAAAAGAUGGCUAUGCGUCCUAUUAGUUAGUUGGUAAGGUAACGGCUUACCAAGACAGCGAUAGGUAGGGGUCCUGAGAGGGAGAUCCCCCACACUGGUACUGAGACACGGACCAGACUCCUACGGGAGGCAGCAGUGAGGAAUAUUGGACAAUGGAGGAGACUCUGAUCCAGCCAUGCCGCGUGUAGGAAGAAUGCCCUAUGGGUUGUAAACUACUUUUAUACAGGAAGAAACACUGGUAUGUAUACCAGCUUGACGGUACUGUAAGAAUAAGGACCGGCUAACUCCGUGCCAGCAGCCGCGGUAAUACGGAGGGUCCGAGCGUUAUCCGGAAUCAUUGGGUUUAAAGGGUCCGCAGGCGGUCGAUUAAGUCAGAGGUGAAA
rnacentral:rRNA from 1 species